UACGAAGGGGGCUAGCGUUGCUCGGAAUCACUGGGCGUAAAGGGUGCGUAGGCGGGUCUUUAAGUCAGGGGUGAAAUCCUGGAGCUCAACUCCAGAACUGCCUUUGAUACUGGGGAUCUCGAGUCCGGAAGAGGUGAGUGGAACUCCGAGUGUAGAGGUGAAAUUCGUAGAUACUCGGAAGAACACCAGUGGCGAAGGCGGCUCACUGGUCCGGUACUGACGCUGAGGUGCGAAAGCGUGGGGAGCAAACAGG
rnacentral:rRNA from 1 species